AGCGAACGCUGGCGGCAGGCCUAACACAUGCAAGUCGAACGAACCCUUCGGGGUUAGUGGCGGACGGGUGAGUAACACGUGGGAACGUGCCUUUAGGUUCGGAAUAACUCAGGGAAACUUGUGCUAAUACCGAAUGUGCCCUUCGGGGGAAAGAUUUAUCGCCUUUAGAGCGGCCCGCGUCUGAUUAGCUAGUUGGUGAGGUAAAGGCUCACCAAGGCGACGAUCAGUAGCUGGUCUGAGAGGAUGAUCAGCCACAUUGGGACUGAGACACGGCCCAAACUCCUACGGGAGGCAGCAGUGGGGAAUCUUGCGCAAUGGGCGAAAGCCUGACGCAGCCAUGCCGCGUGAAUGAUGAAGGUCUUAGGAUUGUAAAAUUCUUUCACCGGGGACGAUAAUGACGGUACCCGGAGAAGAAGCCCCGGCUAACUUCGUGCCAGCCGCCGCCGUAAGAC
rnacentral:rRNA from 1 species